GACGAACGCUGGCGGCGUGCUUAACACAUGCAAGUCGAACGGUAAGGCCCUUUCGGGGGUACACGAGUGGCGAACGGGUGAGUAACACGUGAGUAACCUGCCCUUGACUCUGGGAUAACAUCGGGAAACAGGUGCUAAUACUGGAUAUUCGGCGAUGCCUGCAUGGGUGUUGUUGGAAAGUUCCGGCGGUCAGGGGUGGACUCGAGGCCUAUCAGCUUGUUGGUGAGGUAGUGGCUCACAAAGGCUUCGACGGGUAGCCGGACUGAGAGGUUGACCGGCCACAUUGGGACUGAGAUACGGCCCAAACUCCUACGGGAGGCAGCAGUGGGGAAUAUUGCACAAUGGACGGAAGUCUGACGCAGCAACGCCGCGUGCGGGAUGACGGCCUUCGGGUUGUAAACCGCUUUCAUCCAUGACGAAGCGAGAGUGACGGUAGUGGGAGAAGAAGCACCGGCUAACUACGUGCCAGCAGCCGCCGUAACAC
rnacentral:rRNA from 1 species